CAACAUAACUGCAUAAAAUAACAACAAAGUGUUUCUACAAUCUAAAUUAAAAAACAAAAUUAAAUUAAAAACACAUAAUGACGUAUUAUUUAAAUCUUGGUUAUAAUUACAUGUGAUUUGAAUCUUGAGGAAUUACUUAGUAGCAGAAGCAACUACAUCCCCGCUUGAUCUGGUUCAAAGUUUUGGUCCUCCUCGCCCAGCCAAGUAUGUUCUUCACCACCCAUUUCUUGCGCACGCACAUUCCACUUUUUGCUAUCUACAUAGCAAAAUCAACACAUCACGGAUGCUGAUACAUUACUAAAAACAUACAACUAAUAUUCUAAUUCUAAUAAAUUAAUAUUUUUAUUGUAUUUUUUAAUUUUAAAUAUUAUUAUAAGAAAAAAUAAUAAUAUAUUAACACUUCACAAAUCAAUAAAAUAAUAAUUCAAUUAUAUUUAAUUUAAUUUUAAAUUAUAAAUAUUAUUAUAAUGUGAUGUCAUGCAUACGUUUCAUUAGGUGGUGCCUAAUAAAUUUUUUUCCUUUAAGGAAUUGUGAAGUGUGUGAAUUUUACUCUUUAUCGGUGUUAAAGAUAAGUUUUCCUGUUUUUUUUAUACCCGAACUCAUCUCCCCACUUUCACUUUGAACAGGCGGUGAUGUUCGAAAGCAUGAUCCAUGAACUAGCACCAGCAGUUAACACAAGAAUAUUACAAGUAAUGAAAGUCACCUCAUUAUUCUUCGUUUCAUCGCAGCGAACAUGCUUCCGUCCAUUAUCAGCAAGAGCCAUGUCUGUCACACAAUAUUGUUAAGAUCGCGAGUAAACUACGAGUUUGGAAGGGAAAGUGAGCUGACUCGGACGGCGGACCGUCACCUGUGCGGCUCCUACUCGUAUGUCUCGCCGCCGUCGCUCACUCUCGACGCCGUCGCACUCGCCACUACCCGUGUUCGCAAGCGCCUACGUUCGCUCGCGUUUGCCACCGCUCGCCGCCUCUCCUGCUCGCGUUCACCUCCGUUGUUUUGUUUUAAUAUUUUCUCUGCUCCUCAAUUUUUUUUUUCUCAGUUCUGUUCUGCUCGUUUUUUAUUCUCACGUAUCUAUUCUUC
rnacentral:lncRNA from 1 species